rfam:Felis catus isolate Cinnamon breed Abyssinian chromosome A1, whole genome shotgun sequence.
GCCUGGGUGGCUCAGUCGGUUGAGCGUCUGACUUCAGCUCAGGUCAGGAUCUCACAGUUUGUGAGUUCGAGCCCUGCAUCAGGUU